AUGAUUUUAUUGAUUUCCAAUCAACAACUAUUAUGCAUUUAGCUAAAGAGGUGUCUUACAAACAGAUUAUUAACGAAAAAUCAUUGUGCAUUUCUCAGCCAGCAGUCUGACAGCAAUAGUCCCAGAGCCACCUGGUGUGGGGGAAAGGAAGAAGCAAGUUAGAAAGCUCCCGGCUGGGGAUGGGACAGUUGUAGAAAACAUAUGGUUGUUUGUGUGAAGUUAGUGACAGCUGUCUUUCGUCACUUAGAAGAUUACACACCCCCCCCCCCGAUCUUACCGUCCCUUUACAAAUGGGAGUGGCGCAGAACAGGGAUGGUGGGAGUGAUGUUGAGGGGCAGUGGGGUUAGGUCCAGGCUACGGAAGGGAACAGAACACAGUUAUAGAAUGCUUUGGUGGUUUGGGGAAAAGUUACUCGCUGGAGUCCUUUUUCCCAUUGAAGAUUACAACAUUUUUACCACCUACAUUCCUGGUGUCUGGCCUCUCCCUGCAUUGAGCCAUGGUGCACAAGCCAGCGGAAAUCGGGGGAAGAAGAAUCAAGUCUGGUGUUAGGAUAAACACAGUGCUGUGUUCCUUUGCAGUGGAGAGCUUGUAGUGGUUACCUGAAACCACACAGAAACAGAGUUGCAAUGUGGCUCUUUUUUUUUCCCCCUUCCAUCACCAUUUCAUCAUUGUUAGGCAGGCACUGUCAGUGACUUCAAAAUUGGCAGUCAUGCCUAUUGGUUAGAACAGGAGUUUGUAGUCAGAAAUCCGAGCCAAAGUCAGGAAUUGGAGCUGAGAGUCAGGACCAGGUUUCUUGGAGUGAGCUAAGGCUGCAUCGAAGGCUGAAGCAGGGCUCGGUCAAGGCAGGAGCAGGCUGGGAACAGGUAUGCACAGGAGCUGUUGCAGCUGUGGGCGAAUACUUUGAGCAGCCAUUGAGCUGCUGCUUCUGGGCUUAAAAGCCAGUCUGCUGACUCUUGCCACCAGUCAGGAGAUGUAGCCAAUCAGGUAGCCUACUACAGGACUGCUGGGCUCAUUAGGUUAUCCAGAGACUGCAGGCCCUGCUUCCUGACAGUAUCCCCUGGUGCCUCCUGGGGGCCUGGUUUCUUGGGGAAUUUAUGAUGGUACUCUUGCAAUAGGUGCGGAGUGUGGAUGUUCUCUAGCAGUUCCCAGGAUGUCUCCUCCAGACUGUAGCAUUUCCAGUCCACUAGGUACUGGAGCCUUUCCCUAACUCACCAAGAGUUGAGGAUUUUAUUAAUCAAUCUCUCCUCCUGUCCGCAAACUGUUGUGUGGUGCUGGCAUGUUGAAGCGAUUUAGGUAUGGGUCAUCAGUGCAGGGCUUUAAAAGUGAAAUAUGAAAGACGGGAUUGAUCUCAAGGACUUGGGAUGCUGUAACCUGAAAGCUACUGGCUUUACCUGUUCUAUAAUCUUGAAGGGGCCCAGGUAUUGGUAGCUUAGUUUGGUGGAUGGGCAGGUCAAUUUAAGAUUCUGGGCAGAGAGCCGCACGUGGGCACCUGUAGCCAGAUUGGGGGGCAGCCUGGUAUACUUGGGGUGCAUGAUGUUUAUAGACUUCUUUGGAGAGACUGCAAGUAUUCCUUGAGCUCCUGGUGCACCUGGUGUAGGUGGGAAGCUAAAUCUGCAGCAGCUGGUACUGGAGCGCUGAAGGUGAAAGCCAUAGUUUGCAAAGUGGGCUACUUUGGGUUGAAAUAUGGACUGCAUUGUUAUAUGCAGAGUCGGCACAGCAUAGCAGGGAAAGCCAGACAUUCUGGUGGCAACUCAAAAGCAGCAAAGAUAUUGCUCCUGGAUUUGAUUGACUCUCUGCCCAUUAGUCUGCAGGUGAUUGGCAUCAAGCCCAUUACAUCGUCCACCUAAGAGUCUGAGAAAUUCCCACCAGAAUCAGGAAAUGAACUGGGGACCCCAGCCCAAUACAGUGCCCGUCAGUAACCCAUGAUUGCGGAAGCCAUCUUCCAAGAAGGGCUGAUGAAGCAUCUCAUCUUUGUCAGGAGGUUGAUGACAACCAAGAUUGCUGAGUGUCCCUAGGAGCGUGGCAGUUCUACAAUGAAGUCCAUUGAUAUAUAGUAGACCAUGGCUGUAGAGGAGCCUCACCAAGUUCUAAGUUCCACAGAGGUCCAAUUUUGUGAAGACCCCUUGGUGAAGCAGAGUCUUUUGAGCAGCUUGUUAAAUAAGUCGUAAAGGACCUUUGGUGCCCAAGAGGUAAGCCAUUCCACCAGGAGUGUAGGAGCAGUAACCCAGAGAUGGUAGAGGCAGACAGAGAAGGACCAGGGGAAGAGCUACUCAUAGAGAUGGACAGGAGGAACCAGGAACAGUUUAAAUUCCUCAGAGCACAGGAGGAUUGGGCUCUUCAGCAGGAGACAUUGAUGAGCCAGUUCCUGCAACUGGAGGCACUUCAUAGGGAAUGGGAGCAUUCCCUAAUGGAGAGACUCUUUGUACUGGUGGCCAAAUGAGUUCAGGGUCUGCCUGCUGCUGAAGCCACUGAACCUCCAGCUAUCGCCACCACCUCUUCCUCUGGCUGCAGCUAGAGGAUCCUCUUUUAAGGACCUCCCUGAGUGAUUGGGUAGAGAGCCUGCAGGACUCCUGGGACCUACCCCUCGCUCAAAACCCUUUUUAGGGAGACCUCUUGUUCUCUUCCUGGGCGGUGAACCUAUGGGAGUCCUAAAGCCCCACCAAGUGCCACCCCAAACCCCAUGCAGGAGACCUCUCCUGUUUUCCCCAAGAGAGAUUUUCCCAUCAUUCCCCCUUGUCGGGAGGAGAGCAAGGAGAAAGGUGCAGAGAUUGCAAAGUUUAGUCGGUGCUCACAAAUUCAUUCCUUUAAUGUUUUAAAGAUCGUUAGCUGACCUUUCUUUUUUUUAAAUAUUUUAAUUACAUGUUCCACAUAGUACUUUUUAGUAACUGUUAUUGUUUCCUCGGCUUGCAUGUGGCCCCUCUCUCUUAAAUAUAAUCAACAGAAGAUGUUUUCAGGUUCGGGAUUAGGCCCCACAAUUCACAGCACUUGAAAUUGAAUGACGUAUUACUCUGUUGCCAUGAUAUUGCAAAUACUUUUCUGUCUGUCCCAAACCACACGACCUACUCAGGUUCAGAAAUGUCCCAAAGAUAGUCAGGAGGGAUGGGGAAAGUGUAGUACGUAACACUCAUUUACAGAAAGCACUAUUGGUUUAACAACACAGUAGAACUCUAGAUAAACAUCUGUAUGGCUUAGUUCACAUGCAGAAAUCAAAAUUCCAGUAACAAUACAGCAAUGACAGCAUCUGCCACUACCCUAUCCAUAAGUGGCCCCUCCCUUCGCCCCCAAAACCUUGACCAGUUGCAGUCAUUAGCACCAUUAACAGCAAAUAAUUAAAAGAAGAGAAUGGCUGCAUAUUCCACUCCUCCUCCCCUCAGGCCUUGCAAAUGUUGAUAGGGUCAUUAACAGAGAUUGAGUGCUCUUAAUAACAGAAAUUUGUAAACAAGUGUGACUAGUGAAGACAAAAACAUUUUACAAUGACUGCAUUACAACUUGGCCAUAGCACAGCACAGACCCAACCCUAAGGUGAAGUGGAGGUGCCCUGUUGCAAUUAUCAUUAAUGUAUGCAAUGUCACAGUAAUGAGCGGCUAAAAUGGGGUUCUCACAACAAAUAUUUUGGUGGCCUCAGAGUGUGGCCAGCAAUUUUUGCUGGUGGUCGCUCUGACAAUUUUUCCUAAAAUGCCUAAUUAACUUUAGGAAAAACAAAUAAAUAUGCACAUAUCGAUGUCCAAAUCAUUGUAAUUUAUUUAUAAAGUUUUUUUUGCAAACUCAAUAAAAAUAAUGUACAGUU